rnacentral:lncRNA from 1 species
AAAUAUUACCUGGAAAUCACAAAUUUAUUUUAAUAACAAAGAAAUAAUGAAUUCCAUCUCUUCUCUUUGCUGUCUUCUUUCUCUCCGCUUCUGCUAUCCGAGUGAAUUAUGCAGAAGUAGAGACGUGCAGCGAUUGCCACAAUUGUUAGUAUAUAUAAUUUUCUUUAUUAUCUUUUUUACAUUUUCUACAUCAUAUAACUAAUUGCGUUCUAGAAAAUUUUAAUUUUAUUUUAUAUACAAUUUUAUAAAUUGAAUAUGACUAAUAAACAGCAAUAUCAAAUAUUUAAAUUUUUAUUUUAAAGAUUAUAAUGAAAGGAACUGCUACAUUAUUAUUAUUUCAAGUUUGCAUGUCUGCCCGUUAUUAAUUUAAGUUUUCAAGUAAAUAUUUACUUAAAUUAAGAGAAAUGCUAGGAAUACUUUUUGUUUUUUUAACACUCUUUUGGAUAAUUACUUUUCUAUUUAUUUUUUUAUCCAAUUUUCUCGGCCUAAUAAUUUAUUUAAUAAAUUAAAUUAAUUGUAUAGUUUCAAUAAAUUUAUUUUCUAAUAAAAGAGUGAAUCCCGUUUUAUGCACAUAAUAUAUUAUAAUUUAGAAUUUACUUUUUCAUUUUAAUUUUGAGAUUAUUUUAUUAAGUGGAAGAAAAUACAUCUUUUAAUGAUUUUACUUUUUUAUAACUAUUUGUAUAAAAUUAAAAAUUUAUAUAAAAACUUUAAAAAUAAAAUAAAUUUUAAAUUUAUUUUAUUUUUUUACUAAAAAAUACAAUACUAGUUUAAUUUGUAAAUUAUUAAGUUAACAAAAAUGAAUUAAUAGAAUAAACGAGAGUAUAGCUUUUAAAAAAUUAAAUAUUAUUGCAAGUAGCUAAAAUUACAUGCUUAUGAUUAUCAGAUGUAAAAACAGUUGAAGCAAUAGAAAAAAUAAUUAAUAUGAAAAGAAAUUGAACAGUGAUUGUGCAGAAGAAAUAAAGCUAACUGGCCGAUUGGGCACGCUGCUGCGGGAUCGCUCAAGAAGCUGCCCUUCUGCAAAAUCAACGCAUCUCUCAAUAUUGACUAGGCUCAAUUAUUUUUUAGUAAUUUUAAUUUUUCUUAUGUUUUCAUAUUCUUUUUUUUUUGGAUACUCAAAUGUUUUAUAUUUCAGUAUAAUAUUUAUAUAAUAUUUAAUUUUUCAGUCGACAAAGAAAAAAAUCUUACUUAAAUUAAAAUGUAUAUCUAUCACUAAUUUAAGUCUAAAAGUGCUUAAAUUUUCUAUUUCAAUUUAACUGCAUCAUAUAAUUAAUUAUUUUUUUCAUUUUUAAUUUAAUUUGAAAAAAAGAAAAAGAGUUUAAAAUUUUGACUUAAUUAGAGUAUUUUGCUCGAGACGGUGUUAUAUUAAAUAUUUUUAUAAAUUCAAACGUGACUUAAUAGCUAGUAGAACCAUCAAGNNNNNNNNNNNNNNNNNNNNNNNNNNNNNNNNNNNAAUUAACUAAAACAUGCCUUGUAUCAUCGGAAAGCAAUAUAAAAAAAUGAUUAUCAUAAAAAGAAAGAAAAAAAAUAAAAAAUGAAGGGUGAUUGUGCUGUAG